AUUGAACGCUGGCGGCAGGCCUAACACAUGCAAGUCGAACGAGUGGCGGACGGGUGAGUAAUGUCUGGGAAACUGCCCGAUGGAGGGGGAUAACUACUGGAAACGGUAGCUAAUACCGCAUACCAUCGGAUGUGCCCAGAUGGGAUUAGCUUGUUGGUGGGGUAACGGCUCACCAAGGCGACGAUCCCUAGCUGGUCUGAGAGGAUGAACAGCCACACUGGAACUGAGACACGGUCCAGACUGCUACGGGAGGUGGCAGUGGGGAAUAGUGCACAAGGGGCGCAAGCCUGAUGAAGCCAUGUCGCGUGUAUGAAGAAGGCCUUCGGGUUGUAAAGUACUGUCAGCGGGGAGGCGUUACCCGCAGAAGAAGCACCGGCUAACUCCGUGCCAGCAGCCGCGGUAAUUC
rnacentral:rRNA from 1 species